rnacentral:rRNA from 1 species
GACGAACGCUGGCGGCGUGCUUAACACAUGCAAGUCGAACGGAAAGGCCCUGCUUUUGUGGGGUGCUCGAGUGGCGAACGGGUGAGUAACACGUGAGUAACCUGCCCUUGACUUUGGGAUAACUUCAGGAAACUGGGGCUAAUACCGGCUAGGAGCUCCUGCUGCAUGGUGGGGGUUGGACAGUUUCGGCGGUUGGGGAUGGACUCGCGGCUUAUCAGCUUGUUGGUGGGGUAGUGGCUUACCAAGGCUUUGACGGGUAGCCGGCCUGGGAGGGUGACCGGGCACAUGGGGACUGAGAGACGGCGCAGACGGCUACGGGAGGCAGCAGUGGGGAAUAUGGCACAGUGGGGGGAAGCCUGAGGCAGCGACGCCGGGUGCGGGAUGACGGCCUUCGGGGGGGAAACCGCUGUCGGCUGUGACGAAGCGGGAGUGACGGUAAUGGGUGAAGAAGCACCGGCUAACUACGUG